rnacentral:rRNA from 1 species
UACGGAGGGAGCUAGCGUUGUUCGGAAAUACUGGGCGUAAAGCGCACGUAGGCGGCGCAGCAAGUCAAGGGUGAAAUCCCGGGGCUCAACCCCGGAACUGCCCUUGAAACUGCAGUGCUAGAAUCUUGGAGAGGCGAGUGGAAUUCCGAGUGUAGAGGUGAAAUUCGUAGAUAUUCGGAAGAACACCAGUGGCGAAGGCGACUCGCUGGACAAGUAUUGACGCUGAGGUGCGAAAGCGUGGGGAGCAAACAGG